AUUGAACGCUGGCGGCAGGCCUAACACAUGCAAGUCGAGCGGAUGAAGGGAGCUUGCUCCUGGAUUCAGCGGCGGACGGGUGAGUAAUGCCUAGGAAUCUGCCUGGUAGUGGGGGAUAACGUCCGGAAACGGGCGCUAAUACCGCAUACGUCCUGAGGGAGAAGGUGGGGGAUCUUCGGACCUCACGCUAUCAGAUGAGCCUAGGUCGGAUUAGCUAGUUGGUGGGGUAAAGGCCUACCAAGGCGACGAUCCGUAACUGGUCUGAGAGGAUGAUCAGUCACACUGGAACUGAGACACGGUCCAGACUCCUACGGGAGGCAGCAGUGGGGAAUAUUGGACAAUGGGCGAAAGCCUGAUCCAGCCAUGCCGCGUGUGUGAAGAAGGUCUUCGGAUUGUAAAGCACUUUAAGUUGGGAGGAAGGGCAGUAAGUUAAUACCUUACUGUUUUGACGUUACCAACAGAAUAAGCACCGGCUAACUUCGUG
rnacentral:rRNA from 1 species